UGGAUCCAGACUUUGAUCCUGGCUCAGGACGAACGCUGGCGGCGUGCUUAACACAUGCAAGUCGAACGGGGUGUUUAUUUCGGUAAACACCAAGUGGCGAACGGGUGAGUAACGCGUAAGCAAUCUACCUUCAAGAUGGGGACAACACUUCGAAAGGGGUGCUAAUACCGAAUGAAUGUAAGAGUAUCGCAUGAGACACUUACUAAAGGAGGCCUCUGAAAAUGCUUCCGCUUGAAGAUGAGCUUGCGUCUGAUUAGCUAGUUGGUGAGGGUAAAGGCCCACCAAGGCGACGAUCAGUAGCCGGUCUGAGAGGAUGAACGGCCACAUUGGGACUGAGACACGGCCCAGACUCCUACGGGAGGCAGCAGUGGGGAAUCUUCCGCAAUGGGCGAAAGCCUGACGGAGCAACGCCGCGUGAACGAAGAAGGUCUUAGGAUCGUAAAGUUCUGUUGUUAGGGACGAAGGGUAAGAAUCAUAAUAAGGUUUUUAUUUGACGGUACCUAACGAGGAAGCCACGGCUAACUACGUGCCAGCAGCCGCGGUAAUACGUAGGCGGCAAGCGUUGUCCGGAAUUAUUGGGCGUAAAGGGAGCGCAGGCGGGAAACUAAGCGGAUCUUAAAAGUGCGGGGCUCAACCCCGUGAUGGGGUCCGAACUGGUUUUCUUGAGUGCAGGAGAGGAAAGCGGAAUUCCCAGUGUAGCGGUGAAAUGCGUAGAUAUUGGGAAGAACACCAGUGGCGAAGGCGGCUUUCUGGACUGUAACUGACGCUGAGGCUCGAAAGCUAGGGUAGCGAACGGGAUUAGAUACCCCGGUAGUCCUAGCCGUAAACGAUGGAUACUAGGUGUGGGAGGUAUCGACUCCUUCCGUGCCGGAGUUAACGCAAAUAAGUAUCCCGCCCUGGGGAGUACGGCUGCAAGGUUGCA
rnacentral:rRNA from 2 species